ACGCCCGUAGCUUAGUUGGAUAGAGCAGCGGACUUCUAAUCCGCAGGUCGCAGGUUCGAGUCCUGCCGGGCGUGC
rnacentral:tRNA from 1 species